rnacentral:lncRNA from 1 species
AUGUAACUGAACAUGAUUACACUAUUUAUUGGUCCAAAUUCAUAAAUAGUGCCUAGUUCAUGGUUCACUUUCAUAAAUAGUGCAUAGUUAUUGGGUCCAGUUCCAUAAAUAAUGUAUAGUAAUUGGUAUAGUUACAUAACUGGUGUCUCACUCUUUGCCCAGUUUCAUAUAUAGUGCUUAGUUAUUGGUCCACUUUCAUAUAUAAUGUCUGGUUCUUGGUCAUUUUAAAAAAAUAAUGUUUAGUUCUUGGUCCAGUUUCAUAUAUACUGUAUAGUAAUUGGUACAGUUCCAUAGAUAGGGUCUUAUAGUUUCAUAAAUAGUGUCUCUUUCUUGAUCCAGUUUCAUAAAUAGUCUAUUUCUGGUCCAGUUUUUUUGUUCAGUUUUUUAAAUAAUGCCUUCUCUGAUUUCGAUGCAUCCU